rnacentral:misc_RNA from 1 species
UUUCCGUUGGUAAACCAGCGGAGGGAUCAUUACCGAGUGCAAACUCAUAACCCUUUGUGAACCUAUAUCUGUUGCUUCGGCGGCUCGCUCUCGGGCGAGCCCGCCGGUAAUAUCAGUAUCUCUGUUUGAACCCGACGAUACUUCUGAGUGUUCUUAGCGAACAGUUAAAACUUUUAACAACGGAUCUCUUGGCUCUA